rnacentral:rRNA from 1 species
UGGGGAAUAUUGCACAAUGGGGGAAACCCUGAUGCAGCGACGCCGCGUGAACGAAGAAGGUAUUCGUAUCGUAAAGUUCUGUCCUAUGGGAAGAUAAUGACAGUACCAUAGAAGAAAGCUCCGGCUAAAUACGUGCCAGCAGCCGCGGUAAUACGUAUGGAGCGAGCGUUGUCCGGAAUUAUUGGGCGUAAAGGGUACGCAGGCGGUUUAAUCAGUCGAAUGUUAAAGAUCGGGGCUCAACCCCGCAAAGCAUUGGAAACUGAUAAUCUUGAGUAGUGGAGAGGAAAGUGGAAUUCCUAGUGUAGUGUUGAAAUACGUAGAUAUUAGGAGGAAUACCAGUAGCGAAGGCGACUUUCUGGACACAAACUGACGCUGAGGUACGAAAGCGUGGGGAGCAAACAGG